GACGAACGCUGGCGGCGUGCUUAACACAUGCAAGUCGGACGGAAAGGCCCUGCUUUUGUGGGGUGCUCGAGUGGCGAACGGGUGAGUAACACGUGAGUAACCUGCCCUUGACUUUGGGAUAACUUCAGGAAACUGGGGCUAAUACCGGAUAGGAGCUCCUGCUGCAUGGUGGGGGUUGGAAAGUUUCGGCGGUGGGGGAUGGACUCGCGGCUUAUCAGCUUGUUGGUGGGGUAGUGGCUUACCAAGGCUUUGACGGGUAGCCGGCCUGAGAGGGUGACCGGCCACAUUGGGACUGAGAUACGGCCCAGACUCCUACGGGAGGCAGCAGUGGGGAAUAUUGCACAAUGGGCGGAAGCCUGAUGCAGCAACGCCGCGUGCGGGAUGACGGCCUUCGGGUUGUAAACCGCUUUCGCCUGUGACGAAGCGUGAGUGACGGUAAUGGGUAAAGAAGCACCGGCUAACUACGUG
rnacentral:rRNA from 1 species